GAUAUGUAAUAGACUCUGACACUUACAGUUGGGGAGGAGUAACUGACUUUAUUGAUUAUGCACCUACUAGGUGCCACCAUUCCUCCCUGUGUACACUGCCCCUGUUAUCACAAUGAUCCUGUGAGGUAAACAGUCAUGGCCCCAUUUUAAAAAUGACAACUUAAUCCUGGUAAAUCCAGGGGACUAAAAAAUGAAAAUGAGAACUUAAGUCACCAUAAUAUCUGUAGAAAUAAAUUUUAAAAAAUUGUUUUAAUGAAAACGAGAAAACUGAAGCACAGAGAGAUGAAGAACUUGCUUAAGGUCACAGAAUCAGUGAACAGUAGUGCUAUGUAUUGGCCUGAUUCCAAAACACAUGCUCUCAGUCACAUUUACCAUCUCACACACUGACACACAUACCCAAUUUGGUCUUUGAAGCAAAGCCGACCUCCAAAACAAAAGACGCCUGAGCCAAGGCCACAGUCAUUUCUGGGGUUUUUUUUUUGAGACAGAGUCUCACUUUGUUGUCCAGGCUGUCUGGGCAACAACAGCGAAAGUCCAUCUCAAAAAAAAGAGACAUGGCCCUUGCCCUCAUGAAGCUUUCAUCUUACUGUAGGGAGACAGUUAUCAAAUAACUGAGUACAGGUUUCUGGGCCCUACUGGAGAAAUAUGGUUGAAUAGGUAAAAGGUAGGAUCUGGAAACAGGUACUCUUUUGUAGGCCUCCUUCCCCCAAUGAACUCGAUGAGUGGCCUGGUUUGGGAAUGCCUAGUGUAGUGGAAAAAGCAUGCAUGACCUUCGGAAUGAGACCCAGGUUCAAAUCCUGCCUCCACCACUCCCACACCUCUCUGAGCCUCAGUUUCCUCAUUGGUAAAAUGGAAAUUAUGACACUCCGCAGGAAUUCUUAUAAGGAUGCAAAGACAGAAGGGGAGCCCACAUUUUAGUGUCCUUCCUUCUUUCCCUCUAAAUGUGGAAUGAAAUAAAAAGGUUUUGCCUUUUACUGAUGGGAAUUCAAACUUUAGGGUCACAAGCUAAGAACUAUUUUGAGGUCAACAAGUCCUUGCUGAUAACUGAAAUCUUAGCGCCUGCUUCCCCAGACAGUUAGUUUGACUUUUCUGUUCUGGGGCCCUAUUCUUAUUUUUUCAGGUCUCUUAAACUGUAGCUCCUAAACAACCACUAAAAAGGAAGACCACCUAAUUUCUCCUUAGGGCCACAAACUCCAAUACCAGGGGUUUGGUAUGUGACAGCAGGCAGUGAUGGGAACAGAAAGAAAAUGAGAGCUAUCCACACAGCUCCACUUUAUUGCUUCCAGAUGGAAGACAGGGCCCAGUGUUGCCACUUCUUCUGGAUUUAAAGAAAAAGGCCGGCCAGGUACGGUGGCUCAUGCCUGUAAUCCCAGAACUUUGGAGGCCGAGGCAGGUGCAUCACUUGAGGUCAGGAGUUUGAGACCAGCCUGCCAACAUGGUGAAACCCUGUCUCUACCAAAAUAUACAAAAAUUAGCCAGGUGUGGUGGCGUGUGCCUGCAGUCCCAGCUACUUGGGAGGCUGAGGUGGGAAAAUCACUUGAACCUGGGAAGCAAAGGUUGCAGUGAGCUGAGAUUGCCCACUGCGCUUCAGCCUGGGUGACAAGUGAGAUGUGUCUCAAAAAAAAAAAGGGGGGGAAAAGGAAUAGGCUAGGCAGUAGUUCUCAACUAGAGGUGACUUUGUCCCCAGUAUGACACUUGGCAACAUCUGGAGACAUUUUGCUUGUCGCUGUUGUUGGGGAGCUAUGGGCAUCUAGUGGGCAGAGGCCAGGGAUGCUGCUAUCCAUGCUACAAGGCACAAGACAGCGCCCCUCCCGCAACAAAUAAUUAUCUGGCCGAAAAGGUAAAUGGGGCCAAGAUUGAGAAGCCUUGAACAUGGUUCUGUUGCAGCAACAACCUCCAAAUCUCAGUGGCUUGCAACAACAGAGAGGUCUCACCGCCUGUCCAUUGUGGGUCUGAUAGGGAUCUGCUUUAUGUCAUCCUCACUCAGGGGCCCAGGCUAAGGGAGGUGCCAUUCCCAAGCUUGUAAGAUUUUCGAGGCAAGUGGAGAAUAUUAAUAUAUUAUUAACAUUAAUUAUAAUAAUAAAGAUAUAUUAAUUAUAAUAUUGAUAUAACUGUAAGUUAUAUCUAGAAGUGACAUCUAUCAUUGCCAUCAUACUGCAUUGGCUGCACCUAAAUUCAUGGGGUCAAGGAAGCAUAAUCCAUCCAUGUUCCUGGAUGCAGAGAAUUGGGAAUAUUUGCUAACAGCAUUAAAGACUCCAAAGGUUGGGUGCACCCAAACCUCAGAAAUCACCACUAAAGAACUUAUUCAUGUUCAACACCACCUGUUCCCCCAAAACUUAUUGGAAAAAAAUAAAAAUCCAGAAAAAAAUGUAUGCUGACCAAAACAAAAACAAAAAUAAAAAAAA
ensembl:lncRNA